UAACAGUAUUCAAUGUGACUGUUUUUGUACACAUUCAGUAAUUCAUAAUGGGAAAGUACUCUUACUUCAUAAGCUUUAUUUUAACUUUUGCUCCAGCUUUAGUAACAAAUGAUUCAGUCACUAAUUUUGAAACAAACAUCUUGGGUACAGAAGGCAGUGAGGUGACACUCCAGUGCAGCUACUCAACAACUAACACCUAUGUUUAUCUAUAUUGGUAUCGAAAGUAUCCAAACCAGGCCAUCCAAUACAUUCUGUACAGAGGUGCCCGGUCAAAUAAUGGAUAUGAUAAUACUGCACAUUUUGCUCAGAAGCAUUUUUCUUCAAAAGCAGAACAAGAAUCUACAAGUCUUACAAUUUCUACUCUAACUCUCAGCGACUCUGCCAUGUACUACUGUGCUUUGAGACCCACAGCUCUGCAUUCUGUUAAAGCACUGAACAAGAAACUGUCUAACCACAGAUCACAGAGAUAG